rnacentral:tRNA from 5 species
GCCCCGAUAGCUCAGUGGUAGAGCACUUCCUUGGUAAGGAAGAGGUCACGGGUUCGAAUCCCGUUCGGGGCU